GCCGGGGUGGCCGAGCGGUCCAAGGCGGUGGACACCCGAGAGGCCACAAUGGAGAUCCACUACCCCAAAAGGGUGCCCGGGUUCAAAUCCCGGCCCCGGCG
rfam:Thermofilum adornatus chromosome, complete genome.